UUAAAUUUUUAUAUAAAAAUUUAAGUAUAUAUAUAUAUACAUAUAUAUAAAUUUAAAAAUAAUAUUUAUA
rnacentral:tRNA from 1 species